rnacentral:snRNA from 1 species
GCACCACGAGGCGCUGUC